GACGAACGCUGGCGGCGUGCUUAACACAUGCAAGUCGAACGAUGAAACCUAGCUUGCUAGGUCGAUUAGUGGCGAACGGGUGAGUAACACGUGACUAACCUGCCCCUUUCUCUGGGAUAACGCUCCGAAAGGAGUGCUAAUACCGGAUACUCACACCGAGGCACAUGCCUUGGUGUGGAAAGUUUUUCGGAAAGGGAUGGAGUCGCGGCCUAUCAGCUUGUUGGUGAGGUAACGGCUCACCAAGGCGACGACGGGUAGCCGGCCUGAGAGGGCGACCGGCCACACUGGGACUGAGACACGGCCCAGACUCCUACGGGAGGCAGCAGUGGGGAAUAUUGCACAAUGGGUGCAAGCCUGAUGCAGCGACGCCGCGUGAGGGAUGAAGGUCUUCGGAUUGUAAACCUCUUUCAGUAGGGACGAAGCGAAAGUGACGGUACCUAAAGAAGAAGCACCGACUAACUACGUGCCAGCCGCCGCCGUAA
rnacentral:rRNA from 1 species